CCGUUAGUAGUGCAACACGGUUCAGCACGCGCUUCCAGAAAGAGUGAGCUGUGGGUUCGAGUCCCAGCUAACGCA